rnacentral:rRNA from 1 species
GGUGAACGCUGGCGGCGUGCCUAACACAUGCAAGUCGAGCGGGUACCCGCAAGGGUACCAGCGGCGCACGGGUGAGUAACACGUGGGUAAUCUACCCCUCGGAGGGGGAUAACUGGGGGAAACCCCGGCUAAUACCCCAUACGAUCCGGCAACGAAGGUUGCUGGAUGAAAGGGGCGUUUGCUCCGCCGAGGGAUGAGCCCGCGGCCCAUCAGGUAGUUGGUGGGGUAAUGGCCCACCAAGCCUACGACGGGUAGCCGGCCUGAGAGGGUGGUCGGCCACAAGGGCACUGAGACACGGGCCCUACUCCUACGGGAGGCAGCAGUGGGGAAUCUUGGACAAUGGGCGAAAGCCUGAUCCAGCGACGCCGCGUGGGGGAUGAAGCCCUUCGGGGCGUAAACCCCUGUUGCGAGGGAGGAAUAAGGCCUGGAGGAAAUGCCAGGCCGAUGACUGUACCUCGCGAGGAAGCCCCGGCUAACUACGUGCCAGCAGCCGCGGUAAUACGUAGGGGGCGAGCGUUACCCGGAUUCACUGGGCGUAAAGCGGGUGUAGGCGGCUCGGUAAGUCGGGUGUGAAAUCCCACAGCUCAACUGUGGAAUUGCGCCCGAAACUGCUGAGCUUGGGGCCGGUAGAGGGAGACGGAACUGCCGGUGUAGGGGUGAAAUCCGUAGAUAUCGGCAGGAACGCCGGUGGGGAAGCCGGUCUCCUGGGCCGCGCCCGACGCUGAGACCCGAAAGCUAGGGGAGCAAACC